rnacentral:rRNA from 1 species
AAGUCGAACGAGAGACCUUCGGGUCUCUAGUGGCGAACGGGUGAGUAACACCUUAGGAACCUGCCCGCGCACCGGGAAUACGCUCUGGAAACGGAGAACAAAUCCCGAUGUACAGGAAGGAGGCAUCUUCUUUCUGUGAAACAUCCUUUAGGGGAUGGGGCGCGGAUGGACCUGCGGUGCAUUAGUUGGUUGGCGGGGUAAAGGCCCACCAAGACGAUGAUGCAUAGCCGGCCUGAGAGGGCGGACGGCCACAUUGGGACUGAGACACGGCCCAGACUCCUGCGGGAGGCAGCAGUAGGGAAUUUUCGUCAAUGGGCGCAAGCCUGAACGAGCGAUGCCGCGUGAGUGAAGAAGGCCUUCGGGUCGUAAAGCUCUGUUGCGGGGGAAAAAAGGCAGCAUCAGGAAAUGGGUGCUGACUGAUGGUGCCCCGCCAGAAAGUCACGGCUAACUACGUGCCAGCAGCCGCGGUAAUACGUAGGUGGCGAGCGUUAUCCGGAAUGAUUGGGCGUAAAGGGUGCGCAGGCGGUCCUGCAAGUCUGGAGUGAAACGCAUGAGCUCAACUCAUGCAUGGCUUUGGAAACUGGAGGACUGGAGAGCAGGAGAGGGCGGUGGAACUCCAUGUGUAGCGGUAAAAUGCGUAGAUAUAUGGAAGAACACCAGUGGCGAAGGCGGCCGCCUGGCCUGUUGCUGACGCUGAGGCACGAAAGCGUGGGGAGCAAAUAGGAUUAGAUACCCUAGUAGUCCACGCCGUANACGAUGAGGACCAAGUGUUGGGGGUG